CAGGAGUGAAGCAGCUGUGUGGUUUUCUGGAGAGUCCAGACUGUAGACUGGAGACUCUGAGGUUGAAUUAUUGCAGUUCGUCCGAGAUCAGCUGUGAUUCUCUGGUCUCAGCUCUGAAGUCCAACCCCUCCCAUCUGAAACAUCUGGACCUGAGUAACAACAACCUGAAAGAUUCAGAUGUGAAGCAGCUUCUUGAUCUUGUGGAGAGUCCAGACUAUAAACUGGAGACUCUGUGGUGGGCGUGGUCGUUAUAAGGAGGGCAUGUGUUGUGAGAGGAUGAGCUGUGUCCUGAUGAUCCAGAGGGUGAAGCAGACUCUGACUGGACCAUGUUACUGGGAGGUGGAGAGGAGAGCUUCAUCCACAUGGUCUCCAUUUAAAACCAUCAGCAGAGCUGCACUUCAACUCUUCACAGAGCUCGAACAAAUCAAGUCCAGUCCCUCAUCAAUGAUUCAGACACAUGUCAACCUGCCAGCAUCAACAGUCCUUCCUCAUGUUGUGGAGACAUUUGUUCCAUGUCUUCUCUCUUCUCACAACCUCGUAACCAUCAGCCAUCAAUAAAUUGACCUUUGUGCACCGAUACAACACGUCCAAGGUAGAAGAUACAACAAACUCCUCUAAUUUAAAUUCCAUGUUGAUGAGUGACAGCUAACAGCCACAGCAGAAACCAAACUGUUGACCUAAGCAGCGUUCCACCAACUCCUCACUUCCAAAUCACUGCACAGUUACAGCAACAAACCAUCAAACAAACAACAAUGAGUCCACCAAGGCUACAAAACAACAAAGGUAGCCCCCGGCCCCAGGUCUUCAAAGGACUGGCCUCCAGCCACCAAGCACCCAAAUGAUGCUACGAGCCCGUAGACUGGUUCUCAACAAACUGACCUGACCUGAAAGAAAUACAAUUAUGAACACACCUUGACAACAUCAGUAUGUGAGCAUCAGUAGCAUUAGUAUGUGAACACAUACUCUGCAGAGUUCCAAAAUUUUAGGACUAGGUUCAGGCCUUUGAGGAACCAUCUGAAUAUUCUCAAGUUACAAAUAUAUGUUUCACUAAAAAUAACAACAAUAAUAAUAAUAAUAAUAAUAAUAAUGAUAAUAUUUUUUUUAUUAUUAUUAUCAUGUUUUUGUCUUUUAAGCUGCGUUUAUUUUGUUUUUCUGGACCUUUUUUGUUAACAAGAGAUGGAGAAGUCCCUCUCAUAUAAUUGUGAAGGAGCGUGUCUGUACACAGGACAUUGAACUUUUAGCUUUGGGAAUGCCUCCUUAUUAUUUACCAAGGGAAUUCACCAAUUUCAUCUUUAUCGGAGUCUACAUCCCUCUUUCAGCUGUCAAGAAAACAGCAUGUGAAGCGAUCCAUGCCACUGUUGCUAGGCAGUCCAAACACCCGGAGGCUCUUGUUAUCAUUUCUGGGGAUUUAAAUCAUAACACCUUGGACACUGUUUUGCCAACUUGUCAUCAGUUUGUAAAUUGUGCAACCUGGUAAAAUAGAAAUCUGGAUCUACUGUAUGCUAAUUCAAAAGAUGCAUACAGAUCCA